UGUCCAGUAGUGUCAGCCUCAAUGCCCUAACUGACUCAUCUGAGGUAUAACCUUGGCUGUGCUAUGGCUGCCCAAAUUCCUUUAGUUCCUGCCUAUCCAUUUUACAAGUUGGUUCUCCAACCUUGCUGGUGAUCCUCUGGGCUACUUGAUAUCCCUUCAGAAUUUCAUUUAUGUUUAAGUUAGCCAGAGUUGCUUUCUGUUGUGUCUAACUGGUGAUGUUGACUAGUCACAUAGUACCCAGCAUGUUCUCUCUAAAUGGUGGUUCCCAGACAUUCAAGACUUCCUGUCUCAGGUCCAGGCUCAGAAGACACAAACAAACAAGAAACUACGUUUGGUUGUUCCAGCAUAAAACCUUGGGUUUGCAUUGGACAAGAUUGGCUUACUUUGGCCGUGAGGUCGAGGAUGGUGUUGUGUGGGGGGUAAGUCUGAAGCCAACAGCAAUUACAAGAAGAAGAGGAAGAAGAAGAAGGAAGAGGAGGAGGAGGAGGAGAAGAACAAGAAGAAGGAGGAGGAGGAGAAGGAGAAGGAGAAGAAUCGUUAAGUAGCAGCUUUAUACCCAGGCUUCUUGUUACAUAAUGGGGAGGUGAGUGGUUACCCUACAAUUUUAUAGGAGUUAAUGAACUAUUUGGGCUUACAUGCACUCUGUCUGGCUUCCAGGCCAAUGGGCUUUCUCCCACCAUAUCUUGCCAAUGUGGUUCAGGAUAUGAUGGGAGAGGGAAUUUUACUGGUGGAAAUAUCCCUAGGCUACUAGUUGGAGGACAUCAGGUAAGUGCCCUAACUUUAAGGAGGCCUCUUUUAAUUCCUUCUGCCUUUUGAGAAACACACCAGCCUCCACCAUCCUACCUCCUAAAGAUUCUGCCAAAGGCACCUGUCCUCUUCUUUCUAAAGAAUCACCAUCUUCUGUGUUUCCCCAGUAAAUGAGAAGCUUUGUGUGAAGCUUAACUUUCUGUAGUUUGUUUUACAUUUCAUUCCCGUUUUCAAACAAAUUUGUAACAUUGGGUUUUAAAAUUUCUAGUACUAGAAGGUAAACGCCAUGAAGGCAGGGCCUUUGUCCAGCUUGUUGACUGUUUUAUCCUCUUCACUUAGAACAACACUUGGCACAGGGUGGAAGCACUAUAAACACUUGUUGAAUGAAUGAACAUCCGUUUUCAAACAACACAUUAUCCUUGGGGAUUCUGUGUAUCCCUGGCACAUAUCCGGAAGAUGAUAGCUAGUAUUAUUAGUAUAGCAAUACACUUGCU
rnacentral:lncRNA from 1 species